GGUUAAGCGACUAAGCGUACACGGUGGAUGCCCUGGCAGUCAGAGGCGAUGAAGGACGUGCUAAUCUGCGAAAAGCGUCGGUAAGGUGAUAUGAACCGUUAUAACCGGCGAUGUCCGAAUGGGGAAACCCAGUGCAAUUCGUUGCACUAUCGUUAACUGAAUACAUAGGUUAACGAGGCGAACCGGGGGAACUGAAACAUCUAAGUACCCCGAGGAAAAGAAAUCAACCGAGAUUCCCCCAGUAGCGGCGAGCGAACGGGGAGCAGCCCAGAGUCUGAAUCAGCUUGUGUGUUAGUGGAACGGUCUGGAAAGUCCGACGGUACAGGGUGAUAGUCCCGUACACCAAAAUGCACAGGUUGUGAACUCGAAGAGUAGGGCGGGACACGUGGUAUCCUGUCUGAAUAUGGGGGGACCAUCCUCCAAGGCUAAAUACUCCUGACUGACCGAUAGUGAACCAGUACCGUGAGGGAAAGGCGAAAAGAACCCCGGCGAGGGGAGUGAAAAAGAACCUGAAACCGUGUACGUACAAGCAGUGGGAGCACCUUCGGGUGUGACUGCGUACCUUUUGUAUAAUGGGUCAGCGACUUAUAUUCUGUAGCAAGGUUAACCGUAUAGGGGAGCCGCAGGGAAACCGAGUCUUAACUGGGCGUUAAGUUGCAGGGUAUAGACCCGAAACCCGGUGAUCUAGCCAUGGGCAGGUUGAAGGUUGGGUAACACUAACUGGAGGACCGAACCGACUAAUGUUGAAAAAUUAGCGGAUGACUUGUGGCUGGGGGUGAAAGGCCAAUCAAACCGGGAGAUAGCUGGUUCUCCCCGAAAGCUAUUUAGGUAGCGCCUCGUGAACUCAUCUUCGGGGGUAGAGCACUGUUUCGGCUAGGGGGUCAUCCCGACUUACCAACCCGAUGCAAACUACGAAUACCGAAGAAUGUUAUCACGGGAGACACACGGCGGGUGCUAACGUCCGUCGUGAAGAGGGAAACAACCCAGACCGCCAGCUAAGGUCCCAAAGUCAUGGUUAAGUGGGAAACGAUGUGGGAAGGCACAGACAGCCAGGAUGUUGGCUUAGAAGCAGCCAUCAUUUAAAGAAAGCGUAAUAGCUCACUGGUCGAGUCGGCCUGCGCGGAAGAUGUAACGGGGCUAAACCAUGCACCGAAGCUGCGGCAGCGACACUAUGUGUUGUUGGGUAGGGGAGCGUUCUGUAAGCCUGCGAAGGUGACCUGUGAGGGUUGCUGGAGGUAUCAGAAGUGCGAAUGCUGACAUAAGUAACGAUAAAGCGGGUGAAAAGCCCGCUCGCCGGAAGACCAAGGGUUCCUGUCCAACGUUAAUCGGGGCAGGGUGAGUCGACCCCUAAGGCGAGGCCGAAAGGCGUAGUCGAUGGGAAACAGGUUAAUAUUCCUGUACUUGGUGUUACUGCGAAGGGGGGACGGAGAAGGCUAUGUUAGCCGGGCGACGGUUGUCCCGGUUUAAGCAUGUAGGCUGGUUGUCCAGGCAAAUCCGGAUAAUCAAGGCUGAGGUGUGAUGACGAGGCACUACGGUGCUGAAGUAACAAAUGCCCUGCUUCCAGGAAAAGCCUCUAAGCAUCAGGUAACAUCAAAUCGUACCCCAAACCGACACAGGUGGUCAGGUAGAGAAUACCAAGGCGCUUGAGAGAACUCGGGUGAAGGAACUAGGCAAAAUGGUGCCGUAACUUCGGGAGAAGGCACGCUGGUGUGUAGGUGAAGCCCCUGCGGGUGGAGCUGAGACCAGUCGAAGAUACCAGCUGGCUGCAACUGUUUAUUAAAAACACAGCACUGUGCAAACACGAAAGUGGACGUAUACGGUGUGACGCCUGCCCGGUGCCGGAAGGUUAAUUGAUGGGGUUAUCCGUAAGGAGAAGCUCUUGAUCGAAGCCCCGGUAAACGGCGGCCGUAACUAUAACGGUCCUAAGGUAGCGAAAUUCCUUGUCGGGUAAGUUCCGACCUGCACGAAUGGCGUAAUGAUGGCCAGGCUGUCUCCACCCGAGACUCAGUGAAAUUGAACUCGCUGUGAAGAUGCAGUGUACCCGCGGCAAGACGGAAAGACCCCGUGAACCUUUACUAUAGCUUGACACUGAACAUUGAGCCUUGAUGUGUAGGAUAGGUGGGAGGCUUUGAAGCGUGGACGCCAGUCUGCGUGGAGCCAACCUUGAAAUACCACCCUUUAAUGUUUGAUGUUCUAACGUUGGCCCCUGACCGGGGUUGCGGACAGUGUCUGGUGGGUAGUUUGACUGGGGCGGUCUCCUCCCAAAGCGUAACGGAGGAGCACGAAGGUUAGCUAAUCCUGGUCGGACAUCAGGAGGUUAGUGCAAUGGCAUAAGCUAGCUUGACUGCGAGCGUGACGGCGCGAGCAGGUGCGAAAGCAGGUCAUAGUGAUCCGGUGGUUCUGAAUGGAAGGGCCAUCGCUCAACGGAUAAAAGGUACUCCGGGGAUAACAGGCUGAUACCGCCCAAGAGUUCAUAUCGACGGCGGUGUUUGGCACCUCGAUGUCGGCUCAUCACAUCCUGGGGCUGAAGUAGGUCCCAAGGGUAUGGCUGUUCGCCAUUUAAAGUGGUACGCGAGCUGGGUUUAGAACGUCGUGAGACAGUUCGGUCCCUAUCUGCCGUGGGCGCUGGAGAAUUGAGGGGGGCUGCUCCUAGUACGAGAGGACCGGAGUGGACGCAUCACUGGUGUUCGGGUUGUCAUGCCAAUGGCACUGCCCGGUAGCUAAAUGCGGAAGAGAUAAGUGCUGAAAGCAUCUAAGCACGAAACUUGCCCCGAGAUGAGUUCUCCCUGAGACUUUAAGUCUCCUGAAGGAACGUUGAAGACGACGACGUUGAUAGGCCGGGUGUGUAAGCGCAGCGAUGCGUUGAGCUAACCGGUACUAAUGAACCGUGAGGCUUAACCUU
rnacentral:rRNA from 1 species